rnacentral:rRNA from 1 species
AACGGCCGUACCAUGCUGAAUAUACCGGUUCUCGUUAGAUCACCGAAGUUAAGCAUCAUUGGGCGCGGUCGGUACUUGGGUGGGUGACCACCUGGGAACACUGCGUGCCGUU